UGGGCGCGUUUCCGCCGCCGCACCGUGGAUUGCUUGCUCACCUUCUCUUUGGGGGAUUGUCUGUGCACCUCAGCCAGUUCUUUAGUGUAGAACUCCAAACUCCACACCCAGUGUGAGCUGCUGCUUCCCCAUUUGGGGCAGACACAACAAUUCCUCUCCAGGCCUGGCAAUCAAGGACCCCUCACUGCCUCAGGCCUGAGAGAUGGAAACAAAAGUGAGCUGGGGGAGCAAACUUGGGGUAAAUGACUUCAUUAGCUGAAGCUGUAAUUGGCAGAUUCACCCCCAAAAUGCAAAUGGACCAAACUUAUAAAAGUGUGAAACCCAUGACCCAUCAUCCAUUUUUGGGUGUAGCCCCUGGGGGGCUUCAUCUGCCCUAAAUGUACCUGAAGACCCUUCAAUAAAUAGAACUGCUUUUUAUUCUCUU